GACGAACGCUGGCGGCGUGCUUAACACAUGCAAGUCGAACGGAAAGGCCCUGCUUUUGUGGGGUGCUCGAGUGGCGAACGGGUGAGUAACACGUGAGUAACCUGCCCUUGACUUUGGGAUAACUUCAGGAAACUGGGGCUAAUACCGGAUAGGAGCUCCUGCUGCAUGGUGGGGGUUGGAAAGUUUCGGCGGUUGGGGAUGGACUCGCGGCUUAUCAGCUUGUUGGUGGGGUAGUGGCGUACAAAGGCUUUGACGGGUAGCCGGCCUGAGAGGGUGACCGGCCACAUUGGGACUAAGAUACGGCCCAGACGCCUACGGGAGGCAGCAGUGGGGAAUAUUGCACAAUGGGCGGAAGCCUGAUGCAGCAACGCCGCGUGCGGGAUGACGGCCUUCGGGUUGUAAACCGCUUUCGCCUGUGACGAAGCGUGAGUGACGGUAAUGGGUAAAGAAGCACCGGCUAACUACGUG
rnacentral:rRNA from 1 species